GCCGACUGCAGAGGAGGAAGCCCCAGACGAGAAGGAUGGCACCCAACUCGAUCCGAUUUCACCUUCAAUUCGACUCGAUUACUUUGGCAAAUGUGGGGAUGGCAAAGGGAAAAAAGCAGGGCGGGUUCUCCGUUUCGAUUCGUGUUUUGUUGUAAUUGACAUUUCAAUUGAUUUAAGUUGACAUUAAACGACACACAUUAAAGGCAGCCCCUGGAAGUUCAGUGAAAGGAAGUUGUGGCUGGAGGUGAUGGCGGAUUUCAUUUGGUUACAUAAAGGUGGUACGUGGACGCUUGCUUAAACCCAACGGAUUACCAUCGAUCCUAUCAUCUCACUAAGGGAACGCUUAAAAAUAAUAUUUUACUAGGAAACUAUUUGUACUUUUAAUCUUAGACCAGUAUUGAGUAUCGUAUCAAAAAACCUCAG